GCCGGCCUGAGAGGGUGACCGGCCACACUGGGACUGAGACACGGCCCAGACUCCUACGGGAGGCAGCAGUGGGGAAUAUUGCACAAUGGGCGAAAGCCUGAUGCAGCGACGCCGCGUGAGGGAUGACGGCCUUCGGGUUGUAAACCUCUUUCAGUAGGGAAGAAGCGAAAGUGACGGUACCUGCAGAAAAAGCGCCGGCUAACUACGUGCCAGCAGCCGCGGUAAUACGUAGGGCGCGAGCGUUGUCCGGAAUUAUUGGGCGUAAAGAGCUCGUAGGCGGUUUGUCGCGUCUGCUGUGAAAUCCCGAGGCUCAACCUCGGGUCUGCAGUGGGUACGGGCAGACUAGAGUGCUGUAGGGGAGACUGGAAUUCCUGGUGUAGCGGUGAAAUGCGCAGAUAUCAGGAGGAACACCGAUGGCGAAGGCAGAUCUCUGGGCCGUUACUGACGCUGAGGAGCGAAAGGGUGGGGAGCGAACAGGAUUAGAUACCCUGGUAGUCCACGCCGUAAACGUUGGGAACUAGGUGUGGGGUACAUUCCACGGAUUCCGUGACGCAGCUAACGCAUUAAGUGCCCCGCCUGGGGAGUACAGA
rnacentral:rRNA from 1 species